CCCUUAGAUGUUCUGGGCCGCACGCGCGCUACACUGACGAUGGCAACAAGUUUUUCCUUCGCCGAAAGGUGUGGGUAAUCUUUUGAAACAUCGUCGUGCUGGGGAUAGAUCAUUGCAAUUUUUGAUCUUGAACGAGGAAUUCCUAGUAAGCGCGAGUCAUCAGCUCGCGUUGAUUACGUCCCUGCCCUUUGUACACACCGCCCGUCGCUACUACCGAUUGAAUGGUUUAGUGAGGACUCCUGAUUGGCGCCGCCGCCCCGGCAACGGAGCAGCGGACUGCCGAAAAGUUGUUCAAACUUGAUCAUUUAGAGGAAGUAAAAGUCGUAACA
rnacentral:rRNA from 1 species